rnacentral:snoRNA from 1 species
UUGCACAGUGAACACCCAGAGAUGUCAGCGUGGCUCUCUCUGGUAUCCUUUACCUGUGCUACAGUGACUCUGGUCUUAUCCUCUGCAGUUGGAGAACUUGGUUUUCCUACAUGUAUUCAGAUGAUCAGCACAAAC